UUCCAUAAGAAAAGUUUACAAAAUACCAAAAUUUAUAAGGAGCUUUUCAUAAAUCUAGCAACGAACGACAUAUUUGUUAUAAAUUUAAUACGACAGAAUUCCAUUUAUUCGAACUCCCUUCGUUCAGACUGGUAUCAUCAUAACGCACAAUUUAUCGAAUAUGUUUCUGAACUCCUAUUAUAAAGUAUCCAACUCUAGACCACGCGAGGUGCCACUUACAUGAAUAAAUGUUUUUGCCUUAAUGCAGUUAAACCUCCAGUAGCCGAAGAUCUAUUAUCCGAAUGUUUCACUAUCCACACGUUCAAUUAACGAAACAAUACUUUCUACUUGUGUCGUUUACUAUUAUAUGUCCCUUGUGUAAUUUCAUACUAUUGGGUUGGCAACUAAGUGAAUGUGGAUUUUGUCAAUACCACCUAAUGACUUCAGUACGAAGCUAAUAUUCUACAAGUUAAUAUCUCUUGUCUCUGAUGACAUCAAAGAGGAAACGUGAUGUAUUGAGCUUUACAUGGAAAGGAAAGAUACAUCAAAAGUUGGAAAAAAAGUGUGGUAGUGUUGCACAAAUUAGUAAAAUGUACAGUGUUAGAAGAUCUACGAUUAAUGACAUCAAAAACAGAAACAAGCAAGUGUGAGAAUGAAUUACCCAAGUAUUUCAGGAAGCAGAAAAACUUUAUUAAUGGAUUUGAAGAAUAAAUAUCUAUUCUCUGUCUUAUAGCGAUGAUAAUAAAUCAGCAAUAAAGGAAUCAGUAUUUAGAUAUGCAGGGUGUUACAGAACAUAUGCUAUCCACUUCUGACAUACAUGUGAAAACAGCAAAAGAAGCUCAUAUGAACAUAUGGUCUAUCUCUCUUUGUAUGUGAGAUAUAACAAAUAUAUUGUAUAUCUACACAAUCUAUUGGAAAUGUUGAAAUACUAACAUCCAGAGUGGAACAAACCUAUCAGUAAAUUUGGCUAUCAAUAACAUCAAGAACCAUUCAGCAUGCAAUUGGAUCCAUGGCAAGACUUGUGACAAGUCUACAGACUUGCCUUGAAAUUUGAGGUGAUCAUUUUGAGCAUCUUUUUUAAAGGCAAAUUCCUGAGGCGUGUUCCACAUGCUCUGUUACACUCUAUAUAUUGUACAAGAAAGUUUUGAAAUUUGAAUGAAUAUCAACAUUUUACGUCCUCAUACUGAGAGAAAGGAGAGUAUAGCAAAAGUGACAAUGAAAAGGCUUCUUUACAGUGUUUAGUAUUAAAAGUGUUUAUAGCAUUGGAAAUAGGACUAGGUCGUUUGACAAAACAGAAUAUAAUUUAAUGCAGUUUAAUGUAGUAACAAAAUUUGACUUACUAGUAAAAGGAUGCAGAAUGAUAAGAUAAUAUAUAGAAUAUAUAAUUCAAAAAAGAUUUCCUUUUAUAUUGUAUCAUAUUCUUAGUGAUUGUUCUUGUAUUAUUUGUUUUGAAAUAUAGAAUAAUAAUAAUAAAAAGA